UGGGGAAUUUUGGACAAUGGGCGCAAGCCUGAUCCAGCAAUGCCGCGUGCAGGAAGAAGGCCUUCGGGUUGUAAACUGCUUUUGUCAGGAACGAAAUGGCUCGGUCUAAUACCGGGGGAUGAUGACGGUACCGUAAGAAUAAGCACCGGCUAACUACGUGCCAGCAGCCGCGGUAAUACGUAGGGUGCGAGCGUUAAUCGGAAUUACUGGGCGUAAAGCGUGCGCAGGCGGUUUUGUAAGACAGAUGUGAAAUCCCCGGGCUCAACCUGGGAACUGCAUUUGUGACUGCAAAGCUGGAGUGCGGCAGAGGGGGAUGGAAUUCCGCGUGUAGCAGUGAAAUGCGUAGAUAUGCGGAGGAACACCGAUGGCGAAGGCAAUCCCCUGGGCCUGCACUGACGCUCAUGCACGAAAGCGUGGGGAGCAAACAGGAUUAGAUACCCUGGUAGUCCACGCCCUAAACGAUGUCAACUGGUUGUUGGGUCUUUACUGACUCAGUAACGAAGCUAACGCGUGAAGUUGACCGCCUGGGGAGUACGGCCGCAAGGUUG
rnacentral:rRNA from 1 species